rnacentral:lncRNA from 1 species
CAGAUUGUCAGCAGGCAUGCUGUUGGAGGCAGAGCAAGAGGCUUCAGCAGAGUCUGAAUGCUAGAAAUUAAGUGAGUAAAUUUUAUUUAGCUAUUUUACUAGAAAAGGUGAGUGGACAGUGGUCACAGUGAUCGAAGGAUACCUAUAGUACCCCAAAAACUAUUAUUUUUUUUGGUACUAUAGGUUCCCUUAAAGUGUCUUUGUUGGUAAAAUUACCUGUAACAAAGUAAUCCUUGGCAUUCAAUACACAUACUAAUUUUUUAUUUUUUUACGGGAGAGGGGGGAGAGUAGUGAUAGGCUGCGAGCAUUUGCUGAAACUAACAACCCAUCACUGGUGCUCUAGCAAAUGCUACCACAUUUGCCAAGCUGUUCUAGAGAGGACAUCAGACUGUCACCUGGAGGACUCCAUUUCAGUGUUGACCCUGCCUGUUCUCUUCAUGCAUGUAGAACUCUUAUUUAGCCUCGGGUGUCUUCCCUGCACACAAACAACCCUCUUUUCUUCUUUAGCCAUAUACACUGAUCAGCCACAACAUAAUAACCUCCUGCCUUAUAUUGUGUAGGUCCUCGUCGUGCUGCCAAAACAACUCUCCCUGAAGGGGCGUAUGUGGUCUGCAACAAUCUCUAGGUAUGUGGUACUUGACAAAGUAACAUCCACAUGAAUGCCAGGACCCAAGAAUUCCCUGAAAAACAUUGCCAAGAGGUUACUGCCUUCUUCCCAUAGUGCUUCCUGCUGCUCUCUCUUCCCCAGGUAAAUGGCGCACAUCACCUGGCGUGACCUAAAAGAAAGUGAUUCAUCAGACCAGGCAACCUUCUUCUAUUGCUCCGUGGGCUAGUUCUGACUCUCAUAUCCACAUUGAAGGUUCUUUCAGGGGUGCAAUGCACUGUGUGCUCUGACCCUUUCUAUCAUGGACAGUAUGAAAGGGAAACAGUAGGCACCCAGAUCACUUCAUCUAAUUGAAGUAUUCUGGAUAAGGUGACCCUUUUGCACCUAGUGCUGCAUUGUAAAAUAUUGCAGUUUAAGAGAAUUGCAAUGUUUACAUUGCAGCACAAAGUCUGCCCUCCGUGGCUGUCUACAAGACAGGGGGCACUUAUGGAAUCUAAACAGACUUUUGGUCCGUUAUCUGACGCUGGACGUUCUCAUGGGCCUCCAGCGUCAGAUUUUCCCCAUAGGAAAGCAUUGAAUAAUGCUUUCCUGUUGGGAGGUCUAACGCGCACGCGGCCAUGUGCAUAAGGUCUCAGCGGCAGGGGAGGAGUGUGGGCAGAGCAUGACCGAGCGCCCAGAUUCAGAUGGUGCUGGAUUCAGGUAAGUGGCUGAAGGGGCCCUGCGCGAGAGGGCGGGGACCUAUUAAACCUAUAGUGCAAGGAAAACCAGUUUGUUUUCCUGCCACUAUAGGAUCCCUUUAAGCUUUUCUGCAAAUUGAUCUACAGUAGCUCUUCUGUAUGAUCGAGAGAGCCUUUGCGCCCCACGUGCAUCAUUUAUUUAAAAGCGCUGUUGAUCAAGUGGGUGCAAUAUAAAUGUCAUUAAUAAGUGUGUGGGUAGGUGACAAUGGUGUCAAUAUUCCCACUGGAAUGGCUAGACAGUGUCAGUGACUGAUCUGUUAUCAUUCUUUGGCAACUUUAUCUAUCCUGGCGGACCAUCCCGCCCCAUGUGUUGUGAGAAUUUCACAUUUAAGGUAUAAAAUGAACUUUCUACUUUUUUUACCUGUACAUGGAUGUUACCUGUGAUAUAUACUUAUUUUUGUUAUUUUAUUAAUCAGGCCCUUAUCCUUUGUCUUUUUAUUUAAGUAUUUAAGCUUCCUUAACAUGCUUUAUUAUUCCAUGACCACUUCAUAUUAAAGGGACAUGCAUCAUUAGGAGUCAACUGUCCAUUCAAAAGGGAUUUUUGUUUUGAUUUUCUG